UACGUAGGGGGCAAGCGUUGUCCGGAAUCAUUGGGCGUAAAGCGCGUGUAGGCGGCCAGGUAAGUCCGUUCUGAAAGCCCGGGGCUCAACCCCGGGAGGCGGAUGGAUACUGCUUGGCUCGAGUCCGGAAGAGGCGAGUGGAAUUCCCGGUGUAGCGGUGAAAUGCGCAGAUAUCUGGAGGAACACCGGUGGCGAAGGCGGCAUCCUGGACCGACAUUGACGCUGAGGCGCGAAAGCUAGGGGAGCAAACGGG
rnacentral:rRNA from 1 species